UACGUAGGGGGCAAGCGUUGUCCGGAUUUACUGGGCUUAAAGAGCGCGCAGGCGGCUGGUCAAGUCCGAUGUGAAAUCUCCCGGCUCAACUGGGAAACUGCAUCGGAAACUGAUCGGCUUGAAGAUGGGAGAGGGUAGUGGAAUUCCCGGUGUAGUGGUGAAAUGCGUAGAUAUCGGGAGGAACACCAGUGGCGAAGGCGACUACCUGGCCCAUUCUUGACGCUGAGGCGCGAAAGCUAGGGGAGCGAACGGG
rnacentral:rRNA from 1 species